AGAAUAAAACGCCCCGCGCCCGCGCCAAUUCUCUUCCAUUAACCUUUCGUCUGUUCGCAGGUAAGUACCUAACUUCGAGAUUCUACGUGACUUCGUGCCUCAACAUGUUCCAAGCAUCAUCAAGCAACAAUGGCGGCAACGCAGCGGCAAUGGCGUGCAUCGCUACCGAUCGCAGAAGACGGACAAACAACACAAAAUAAUAGGUUUAAUAUGACAACAUUAAAUCACAAAAACGCCACAAUUGAUUCCCAGUAGAAAUAGGAAAAUAUAAAAGACCAGUUUCAUCCAUAGGAAGAAAGAUACUACUUAUUUUACCAAUAAAAGGACUUGAGGGCAAAAUAUUUUACAUAUUAGGUACAUAUAAAGUUUUGAUGAAGAAUUUUGAUGAGAAAAAAUAUCAAAAAUGCCACAAAUUACUCUAUAACAUAAAGACAGUUUCAUCAGGAGGAGGAAUGACACAACCAAUAAAAGGAAUAAUUGAAGUCAAAAUAUUGUACAUAUAUAAAACAGGCUUUGUAUCAGUACAAAAUGGAAUCACCAGUUAACCAGACGCGCCAGGUGCUCAAAGCAGCGUCACUAAGAAGAAACACGUGAAAGCACGAAACAGACCACCAUCGUGCUCCGUGGCUUAAUCCGCAUUGUUACGCUCCUAUUGGUCUUAGCAAGAUGUUAUAUAAUAUGUUUAACCUUUAAUAUGUUGAUCCGACCUGUUUUUAUAAUAUCUAUUCAAAAUUUUAAGUUUAUCCAUGCACUACUGUUUACGUCUAGCCCGGGGUAGCAUAUUUUUUGCUUCGAUUAUUAUUUUGUAAAUCGCACCCAAAAAAUAUUCAAGUGUAUUUUCCUACGUUUUUUUUAUGUAUAGAUUUUAUUUUAGUUGUAUGUUAUUCGUUUUUUGUAUAAAUUUAUACCUAUAGAUUUUCUUUAAAAAUGAAAAAAUGUAUUACUGUUACCAUUAGUUGAAUAAUAUAGUUAUGUUAAUAAUAUAAUCAUGUUAAUAAAACCUUUUAGUUUCAAU